GCAACAUGGUUAUGGGUACUACAGUGGAUGUGAGUGUGUAGACCUUGUACAAUAGAGCUUAUAGGCUAAUGAGAAGACAGGAAGAAACAACAGGAACACAUAUAGCUGGAAUGCAGAUGGGAUCUGUGCUACUUACGCUAGCCAUGGGAUGAUUAGAACAAGAUAAGAGACAUGAGGAAGACUUCUUCAAGGAGGUGCUCAAGCCAUGUUUUGGAAAAGAGAACUCAAGAGUAGACUUUGAGUCUUUGCUUCAGAUGCAGAUCAAGAUGUGGCAACCUGUUGUGGAGAACUGGGUCCCUUGAGCCUGUGCUGUCUCUUUUUUUCUGGUGGCUUUGUCAUUUGGAACAAUGCAUAAUGGGCUGGAGGCUGAGAAACUCUGAGCUGAGGGCAAGUAGAGCUGCAGCUGUCUGGCGCCACUGUAAUGCUGUCUCCUCCUCUGAGUGAGUUCAUCCUGGAAACAUUUUCUCCCAUAAGACAUGCACAGGUCUUACGUUUACAUGUUUCACUGAAAGAAAUUUGAUUCCACUGCUGGGAUGACAAGGAAGACUGAAGAAACCUAAUCCUAGGUGCUGCCACUGGGACAAACAAGAAGCACCAGACACAGUGCUGUUUUAGGGUGGGGCAGAAUUAUGCUGAGGGAAAAGUUAUUAUCACUCUUUAAGGCCAAGGAAACCACAAUUUUUAAAGAAGCUUCUAGAAAUUCUACCCAGUAGAAAAUAAAGAUAAACUUCUGUAAGGAAUUUCAUUCUUUUCAGAAUUCGCAAUCUGAAAUGUAGAAGCCCAUUCCUUCAUGGUUCUCAUAGAUAUUUAGUGUGACUGAGGGGUCAGUGGACUCAUAGCACUCAGGCCAGGCUUCUCCUGAGUCCCUUUCUUUGGCACAGAGGGAGUGAUUCACAGAUCCUCUACCCCCAAAGGCAUUGUUUCCUCAUCUCAACAAGAAUCCAGCACCCGUCAUUUUAUCAGCACACGUCACUAGCUUCUCAAGUGAGACUACUCUGAAGUGAUCUGUGUUUGAAGAAUGCCUUUCCCUUUCCCUUACGUAACUAAGAGGAUGAAAAAGGACACUCACUCCCUAUAUGAAAGCUGUGUAUUGUAAGCAGUCAUCUUGCCUGGCUGAGAACUCUAGGAUCUUUUUCUCUGCUCUCCUUUAGGCUGACACUCAUAGCCAGACCUUCUGUUUAUUAGCCCCCUGAAUCUAUUUGAAAAUAUUUUUGCUUUCAUUAUAAUAUAAGUCACAUUCUUCUUGCAUCUGCCGCUGCAUUUUCCAAAAGGGUUAUGUCAAGGGAAAUUCAACACUCACUUUUCUCAUUAUUUGCUUACCAGCUUGCUCACUCAUCAAAAUACCAGAGUUAUUUGAUACUUCAGAAGAUUAUUUCCCCCUUUAGAUGAUGUGUCAAGGGAAGGGGAGCUGGCCCCAGUAUCAGGUGACAGAAUUUUCUUCGCAUUUCUACUGUUGACUCAAUAAAUGCCCUUGGGCAAGUCA
ensembl:lncRNA LINC02532 long intergenic non-protein coding RNA 2532